GAUGAAGAACGCAGCGAAAUGCGAUAAGUAAUGUGAAUUGCAGAAUUCAGUGAAUCAUCGAAUCUUUGAACGCACCUUGCACCCUUUGGCAUUGCGAAGGGUAUGCUCGUUUGAGUGUCAUUGUACUCUCACACUUCCAAUCUUUGGAUUGGGAGCAGUGGACUUGGGUGUUGCUGCUUACUGUGGCUCACCUCAAAUCGAUUCGUGCACCUCUUGGUUGGACAUAGUACGGCGUGAUAAGUGUCUUCGCCGGCACCUCAGUAGAGGGUGGCUGAUCAGGAGCUCUGUGCUUCAAACCGUCCUCGGACAACAACUGACAACUUGACCUCAAAUCGAGUAGGACUACCCGCUGAACUUAAGCAUAUCAAUAAGCGGAGGA
rnacentral:misc_RNA from 1 species